GUUGUUUUAUUUGGACUGUAGAAUAACCUUGAACUGUCACUGCAGUUGCAGGCAUUUUGCAAUGGCAUGAUGAGAAGACAUCUUUUACAUAUUUCCUUGCUUUGAGUAUGUUGUAUUACUGGUUUUUCCUUUCUGGAAGAACUUUUGCCUCAUCUAUGUCCAAGCUUCUGCUGUUUGUUUCAUUCGGCCUUUAUGGAUACAGGAUUCUACCACCCAAGAUGUUGGGUUUUACCCUUAAGACACUGUCUUUAUCUUGUUUUGAGAUUCCUGAAACGGUAGUGAAAGAUAAGAUAGCAAGCAUAGCGUAUUUGUGGAACAAAGGGGUUUGUUAUUUGAGACUACUGGCCCGAAGACAUGGCUGGGAUAUUUUCUUCAAGGUAUGGACCAUAAUAACUCAUUCCCUUGGGUGAAGUGCAUGACUCCAGGAAAUGUCCAAUUUCAUGUUUUCUGUAGCUUUUAUCCGAAACCUUUUCUUCGGCAGAGACUAUUGCAGGUGUAGCCGUCGAAGUUCGAGUAUUUUAGGAAAAUUUGGACCUAAAUUUAUUUAUAAGUCAUGGCCAGAUUCUCAAGAAUUAUUAUGAUAUAUAACUAUUCAAUUUUGACUCAUUAAUUAUUUUCAGUGGAAUUGACAGGCGGUAUUUGAACGCUACUGACCAACACUAUUGUAUCCCCUGCUUAUUAUAUUUGGUGGAAAUGUUUGCAUAUAAUCAUUUGUCUAAAAAAUAUUUCCAUGUAGUCAUUUGUCUGCAAAAUGUUGCCAUAUAGUCAAAUUGUCUAGAAAAUGUUUGCACCAACUUGAUCCAUGCGGAGUAUGAACUUCAGCAUCUUUUUUCUUUUUCUUUUCAAAAAUAACCGUUUAAACCUCAUGUAUUUUAUUAACAAGUAUCUCUUUGUGAUGCAUAAAUUUUGAUAUUUCUCAAUACUACUUUUAUAUGAAUGGGUGAGUUUUCAUUGACAGCAAUUAUUCUCUCGUGGCCAUCUCUACAGUUUGCAGCAUCCCUCUUUUUCCUCAAGUUGAUUUUGUCUCAAGCCUUGACUGUGUUAAUAGGUGUAGCGCUGGUGUUGGCUUUCACCCUAUUUUUUGUUUGUGAACAAUAUGAAUCGGAAAUAGAUGGAUUGGCAAAGCUUCUGUUCAACGGGUUCAUAUCAGUUUCUGGGUCAUUGAGAAGAAAUCUACCUGCUUCUAUGCAACUGUAUCUUGAAAAACAUGGAAUCUUGCAUCGCG